AGUAAUUGUGCAGCUUGGAGGGACAGCUGCGGCAGAAGUUGCCCCCAGACCUAUCCUCCCAAUCCACAUUGGUCAGGUUCUUCUCCCAAGGAGCAGGCACCCCGCCUACCACUCCGUGCUUAUCGCCUGUUCCGUGUUUAAGGAAGUGCUGAAUAACGGGGCCCAGGGACCAGGAGCCCCACAAGCUCCUUUCUCCUGUUCUUAUGUGACUGAAUGACCUGUGCACACUGACAGCUAGAGAGGAAAUGGAGAAAUUUUUCCCUGUCCCUAAAACACUACAGGAAAAUGUCCAGAAAAUGAAACAGUUUGAUGAGAAAUCCAUUUUCUUUCAUAACUCUAUUUGAGUCAUAUCUGCAACACGAUCUUCAAUCCUAAAAGGAUAUUUGAGUUCACCACUCCAUGCGUGAGUCCACACAACUAUGUCAACAAAAUCAGAAGAAUCCUACUCUUUAAAAACUUCCCAUCUGUGACCCGAGUUUCAUCACAUCCAUAGAUGCACAAAACAUGUCGAAACGUGGACCUGGAAGAGCAAACACCCUUUGCGAAGAGGGGCCACACUGAUGGAAUCAAUCUGAAGACUUCCCAAGGAGCUCCAGAGACCUUACUGCACUGGUAUAACACUGAUGCAGGAGAAGGCUGGCAGAAUGCAGCAGCUGCCCACAGCCAUGCACAUGGCCAGUGUGAAGGAGGCUCAGUGGAGAUAGGCGAGUUGUCAACAAAUGGUGUGAAGGUGAUUAGAUGCUUCUGUACAAAACAAAGCUCACUCCCCACCCCCACAAGAUCAAUAGCAAUUACGCCGAACUUGCGAACGUUCCAGGAGAAAAAAAUAUAUGGGAACAGUUUUGUAACCUAGAGCUAGAUGAAGACUGUACAUCACGUGUCCAAUCCACCAACAGAGGGAAAUAAAGAUAAAUUAAAGGUCAUCAAAAU
rnacentral:lncRNA from 1 species